AGCAGCGUGGCUCAGUGGAAAGAGCAUGGGCUUUGGAGUCAGAGCUCAUGGGUUCGAAUCCCAGCUCUGCCA
rnacentral:tRNA from 1 species